rnacentral:rRNA from 1 species
ACUCAAUAGAUACCCAGGUAGUCCUGGCAGUAAACGGUGCGCGUUUGGUGUGGGAGGAUUCGACCCCUUCUGUGCCGGAGCUAAACGCGUUAAACGCGCCGCCUGGGGAGUACGGUCGCAAGAUUAAAACUCAAAGAAAUUGACGGGGGCCCGCACAAGCGGUGGAGUAUGUGGCUUAAUUCGAUGCAACGCGAAGAACCUUACCUAGCCUUGACAUGCAUCUCUAAGUCGGUGAAAGCCGGCGAGUGUAGCAAUACACAAUUUGCACAGGUGCUGCAUGGCUGUCGUCAGCUCGUGUCGUGAGAUGUUGGGUUUAAGUCCCGCAACGAGCGCAACCCCUGUGAACUGUUGCCACCUACCUUUGGGUAGAGCACUCUGUUCAGACUGCCCUGUGAAACGGGGAGGAAGGUGGGGAUGACGUCAAGUCAGCAUGGCCCUUACGGCUAGGGCUGCACACGUACUACAAUGCUCAGUACAGAAUGAACCGAAACCGCGAGGUGGAGGAAAUCCAU